GACCAGGUGGCUCAGAGGUUAAAGCACCUGCCUGGAAUGCUGGAGACCUGGGUUCGAUCCCUGGGUCG
rnacentral:tRNA from 1 species